AUUGAACGCUGGCGGCAGGCCUAACACAUGCAAGUCGAGCGGCAGAAGGGAGCUUGCUCCUGGAUUCAGCGGCGGACGGGUGAGUAAUGCCUAGGAAUCUGCCUGGUAGUGGGGGAUAACGUCCGGACACGGGCGCUAAUACCGCAUAAGUCCUGAGGGAGAAAGUGGGGGAUCUUCGGACCUCACGCUAUCAGACGAGCCUAGGUCGGAUUAGCUAGUUGGGGGGGUAAAGGCCUACCAAGGCGACGAUCCGUAGCUGGUCUGAGAGGAUGAUCAGUCACACUGGAACUGAGACACGGUCCAGACUCCUACGGGAGGCAGCAGUGGGGAAUAUUGGACAAUGGGCGAAAGCCUGAUCCAGCCAUGCCGCGUGUGUGAAGAAGGUCUUCGGAUUGUAAAGCACUUUAAGUUGGGAGGAAGGGCAGUAAGUUAAUACCUUGCUGUUUUGACGUUACCAACAGAAUAAGCACCGGCUAACUUCGUG
rnacentral:rRNA from 1 species